rnacentral:lncRNA from 1 species
GCUCCGGCGACACCAACCUGCGCCCGCUGGAGACCUGGUUCACGGAGUUGGGCCAGGGGUUGUUCCAGCUGCGGCAGCUGCUGCGGGCGCUGGGUGACCUGCGACAAAAGGUGACGUACGCCAGGGACCCGCUGGUGGCAGAGACGCCCCUGCUGGAGCAGAGGCUGCAGGAGCAGCUCACGCACCUGCUGAAGAGGUGGGGCUGGGCCAGGAGGGGCUCCAGGGAAAGGUUCUUCCCCCCCAGAGGGUGGUGGAGAGCUGGGGAAGCUCUCCAGGGAAUGGUGACCAAGGGUGACGGAGAUCUGGGAGUGUUUGGACAGCAACGGGGCGGGAUUUUGGGGUGUCUGUGCAGGGUCUGGAGUGGGAUCAGUGAUCCUCAUGGGUCCCUUCCAGCUCUGGAUGACUCAGGAGGGCUCCAGGGAAUGGUGACCAUGGGUGACAGAGCUCUGGGAGUGUUUGGACGAAGCUCCCAGGCACGUUUUGGGGUGUCUGUGCAGGGUCUGGAGUGGGAUCAAUGA